rnacentral:rRNA from 1 species
UACGAAGGGAGCUAGCGUUGUUCGGAAUCACUGGGCGUAAAGCGCACGUAGGCGGAUGUGUCAGUCAGGGGUGAAAUCCCGGAGCUCAACUUCGGAACUGCCUUUGAUACAGCACGUCUUGAGUCCGAUAGAGGUGGGUGGAAUUCCUAGUGUAGAGGUGAAAUUCGUGGAUAUUAGGAAGAACACCGGUGGCGAAGGCGGCCCACUGGAUCGGUACUGACGCUGAGGUGCGAAAGCGUGGGGAGCAAACAGG